UGGGGAAUAUUGCACAAUGGGCGAAAGCCUGAUGCAGCAACGCCGCGUGAGUGAUGAAGGCCUUCGGGUUGUAAAGCUCUGUCUUUUGGGACGAUAAUGACGGUACCAAAGGAGGAAGCCACGGCUAACUACGUGCCAGCAGCCGCGGUAAUACGUAGGUGGCAAGCGUUGUCCGGAUUUACUGGGCGUAAAGGAUGCGUAGGCGGAUUUUUAAGUGAGAUGUGAAAACCCUAAGCUUAACUUGGGGACUGCAUUUCAUACUGGAAAUCUAGGGUGCGGGAGAGGAGAAUGGAAUUCCUAGUGUAGCGGUGAAAUGCGUAGAGAUUAGGAAGAACACCAGUGGCGAAAGGCGAUUCUCUGGACCGUAACUGACGCUGAGGCAUGAAAGCGUGGGUAGCAAAACAGGAUUAGAUACCCUGGUAGUCCACGCCGUAAACGAUGAGUACUAGGUGUAGGAGGUAUCGACCCCUUCUGUGCCGCAGUUAACACAAUAAGUACUCCGCCUGGGAAGUACGAUCGCAAGAUUAAAACUUAAAUGAAUUGACGGGGGUCAUAGCUGUUUUCCU
rnacentral:rRNA from 1 species